rnacentral:rRNA from 1 species
UUAAGUUAUUAAGGGCGCACGGUGGAUGCCUUGGCACUAGAAGCCGAUGAAGGACGUUACUAACGACGAUAUGCUUUGGGGAGCUGUAAGUAAGCUUUGAUCCAGAGAUUUCCGAAUGGGGAAACCCAGCAUGAGUUAUGUCAUGUUAUCGAUAUGUGAAUACAUAGCAUAUCAGAAGGCACACCCGGAGAACUGAAACAUCUUAGUACCCGGAGGAAGAGAAAGAAAAUUCGAUUCCCUUAGUAGCGGCGAGCGAAACGGGAAGAGCCCAAACCAACAAGCUUGCUUGUUGGGGUUGUAGGACACUCUAUACGGAGUUACAAAGGACGACAUUAGACGAAUCAUCUGGAAAGAUGAAUCAAAGAAGGUAAUAAUCCUGUAGUCGAAAAUGUUGUCUCUCUUGAGUGGAUCCUGAGUACGACGGAGCACGUGAAAUUCCGUUGGAAUCUGGGAGGACCAUCUCCUAAGGCUAAAUACUCUCUAGUGACCGAUAGUGAACCAGUACCGUGAGGGAAAGGUGAAAAGCACCCCGGAAGGGGAGUGAAAUAGAACCUGAAACCGUGUGCUUACAAGUAGUCAGAGCCCGUUAAUGGGUGAUGGCGUGCCUUUUGUAGAAUGAACCGGCGAGUUACGAUUUGAUGUAAGGUUAAGCAGUAAAUGUGGAGCCGUAGCGAAAGCGAGUCUGAAUAGGGCGUUUAGUAUUUGGUCGUAGACCCGAAACCAGGUGAUCUACCCUUGGUCAGGUUGAAGUUCAGGUAACACUGAAUGGAGGACCGAACCGACUUACGUUGAAAAGUGAGCGGAUGAACUGAGGGUAGCGGAGAAAUUCCAAUCGAACCUGGAGAUAGCUGGUUCUCUCCGAAAUAGCUUUAGGGCUAGCCUCAAGUGAUGAUUAUUGGAGGUAGAGCACUGUUUGGACGAGGGGCCCCUCUCGGGUUACCGAAUUCAGACAAACUCCGAAUGCCAAUUAAUUUAACUUGGGAGUCAGAACAUGGGUGAUAAGGUCCGUGUUCGAAAGGGAAACAGCCCAGACCACCAGCUAAGGUCCCAAAAUAUAUGUUAAGUGGAAAAGGAUGUGGCGUUGCCCAGACAACUAGGAUGUUGGCUUAGAAGCAGCCAUCAUUUAAAGAGUGCGUAAUAGCUCACUAGUCGAGUGACACUGCGCCGAAAAUGUACCGGGGCUAAACAUAUUACCGAAGCUGUGGAUUGUCCUUUGGACAAUGGUAGGAGAGCGUUCUAAGGGCGUUGAAGCAUGAUCGUAAGGACAUGUGGAGCGCUUAGAAGUGAGAAUGCCGGUGUGAGUAGCGAAAGACGGGUGAGAAUCCCGUCCACCGAUUGACUAAGGUUUCCAGAGGAAGGCUCGUCCGCUCUGGGUUAGUCGGGUCCUAAGCUGAGGCCGACAGGCGUAGGCGAUGGAUAACAGGUUGAUAUUCCUGUACCACCUAUAAUCGUUUUAAUCGAUGGGGGGACGCAGUAGGAUAGGCGAAGCGUGCGAUUGGAUUGCACGUCUAAGCAGUAAGGCUGAGUAUUAGGCAAAUCCGGUACUCAUUAAGGCUGAGCUGUGAUGGGGAGAAGACAUUGUGUCUUCGAGUCGUUGAUUUCACACUGCCGAGAAAAGCCUCUAGAUAGAAAAUAGGUGCCCGUACCGCAAACCGACACAGGUAGUCAAGAUGAGAAUUCUAAGGUGAGCGAGCGAACUCUCGUUAAGGAACUCGGCAAAAUGACCCCGUAACUUCGGGAGAAGGGGUGCUCUUUAGGGUUAACGCCCAGAAGAGCCGCAGUGAAUAGGCCCAAGCGACUGUUUAUCAAAAACACAGGUCUCUGCUAAACCGUAAGGUGAUGUAUAGGGGCUGACGCCUGCCCGGUGCUGGAAGGUUAAGAGGAGUGGUUAGCUUCUGCGAAGCUACGAAUCGAAGCCCCAGUAAACGGCGGCCGUAACUAUAACGGUCCUAAGGUAGCGAAAUUCCUUGUCGGGUAAGUUCCGACCCGCACGAAAGGCGUAACGAUUUGGGCACUGUCUCAACGAGAGACUCGGUGAAAUCAUAGUACCUGUGAAGAUGCAGGUUACCCGCGACAGGACGGAAAGACCCCGUGGAGCUUUACUGUAGCCUGAUAUUGAAAUUCGGCACAGCUUGUACAGGAUAGGUAGGAGCCUUUGAAACGUGAGCGCUAGCUUACGUGGAGGCGCUGGUGGGAUACUACCCUAGCUGUGUUGGCUUUCUAACCCGCACCACUUAUCGUGGUGGGAGACAGUGUCAGGCGGGCAGUUUGACUGGGGCGGUCGCCUCCUAAAAGGUAACGGAGGCGCUCAAAGGUUCCCUCAGAAUGGUUGGAAAUCAUUCAUAGAGUGUAAAGGCAUAAGGGAGCUUGACUGCGAGACCUACAAGUCGAGCAGGGUCGAAAGACGGACUUAGUGAUCCGGUGGUUCCGUAUGGAAGGGCCAUCGCUCAACGGAUAAAAGCUACCCCGGGGAUAACAGGCUUAUCUCCCCCAAGAGUUCACAUCGACGGGGAGGUUUGGCACCUCGAUGUCGGCUCAUCGCAUCCUGGGGCUGUAGUCGGUCCCAAGGGUUGGGCUGUUCGCCCAUUAAAGCGGUACGCGAGCUGGGUUCAGAACGUCGUGAGACAGUUCGGUCCCUAUCCGUCGUGGGCGUAGGAAAUUUGAGAGGAGCUGUCCUUAGUACGAGAGGACCGGGAUGGACAUACCUCUGGUGUACCAGUUGUCGUGCCAACGGCAUAGCUGGGUAGCUAUGUGUGGACGGGAUAAGUGCUGAAAGCAUCUAAGCAUGAAGCCCCCCUCAAGAUGAGAUUUCCCAACUUCGGUUAUAAGAUCCCUCAAAGAUGAUGAGGUUAAUAGGUUCGAGGUGGAAGCAUGGUGACAUGUGGAGCUGACGAAUACUAAUCGAUCGAAGACUUAAUCAA